GCUGUCAUCGUCUAGUGGUUUUAGGAUAUCGCUCUCUCAAUGCGAAGAUCACGGGUUCGAAUCCCGUUGACAGCA
rnacentral:tRNA from 1 species